rnacentral:lncRNA from 10 species
UAAAAACAGAUUUUGUUGCUGUUGUUUUCCUUUGGACUAAUAAAGAAAACAGGCAAGGAGAUGCUGAGAAGACAGGAUGGUGUAGCAACAUGACAGGUAGUUCUGCCCUAUGCCCUGACUUAUGGGCAUACUAUGAGAGGGGCCGCACUUCUAUCCACCUGCCUGCAGUGGUGUGGGGCCCAGACAACGGGCUCUGCUUGCUCUGCCUUUGGUUCCAAAGAUCUCAGCUGUAACCUUUAGCCUUGUGCUCUGCAGUGUCAAAACAAAAACAAAAACAAAAACAAUGAACAACCAAAAAACCCUGAGGUAAGAAUCAGAACCUCUCUUUCCUUUUGCUGUUAAAGGAACCAGAAACUGCUAGGCGUGAUGCUUGAGCCCAAGAGUUGUAGGCUGUAGUGUGCUAUGAUAGCAUCUGUGAAUAGCCACCGCACUCCAGCCUGGGCAACACAGGAAGACCUCAUCUGUAAACAAAACAAAACAAAACAAAACAAACAAAAAUGAACCAGAAAGUCCUCUUUACUUAUGCUGUUAAAGAAAAAAUCACUAAGGAGGGGGAAGGAAGGGAAGCCUGUCUUCCUCACAUGGAUUCAGCAGUUAAUGGCUACAGAAGGAAGACAAAGGACAUGAGAAUUCUUCCUUGCUUUUUUUGUGAGCUCAAGUGACUAUUUUGAAUGAUAUUUCCACCUAUCUAGAUCUAUGAAUCAUUACUCCUAAAGAAGACAGGAAUUCCCUCAGUUUUCACUUACAAUAAACUUAGGGCUUUGUACUCUUUCCCUUUCUCCUCUGUUUACAAGUGACCUUUUCCUCAGCACUUUAUUUUGGUGUCCUUUCCUUUUCUUUACCUAAUCUCUUAACCACCUUUCCACAGGUAACUCCUCUUACCGCAUAGCAUUUACAAUUGCUCCGGUGAGAAGAAAAAUGAAAUAUUUUCCACGGUACCUUCACAAAAAUGAAGGGAUUAUUUUGCCCCAAUGGUAGUUAGUUAGUUGUUGUUAGUCAGUGUCAGUUGCUCGGCGGCGGCGGCCGUGGUCACCAGGAAGGGGACGGGACGGACGGUGAUGGUGGUCGCCGCGGCGGCGUGUGCGCCCCUCAGUGUGAAGUUUUAACUUGGAGACCCAGAAUUCAAACUUGAAACUGUAGAAGAGAGGAUGAAGAGAAUAUUAGCAGUUGAAAGGAAAAUGUAGAAAUAGAAACAUUAUGUAUAUUUAACAGAAAACAAUGAUCAACAUGAAAUGUUGAAGAUAUAUGUUCUAAGUGAUAGCUAUAUGUAGAUAUGGUUCAGAGAAGGCAAAUUGCAUGUAUUGUUUGAUACACGGAGAGAAGAUUCAGUGGACCACGUACAUAAUAAGCAGAAAGAGGAAUAAAAAGGGAUCUUGCGAUUACUUCACUAAAGGAAAAGGGAGCCAGUGUUGUGGUGAGAUGUAAAGCACUUUUGACCCAGGAUACAGUAGAUCCAGAAGAUGGGUAUCUGCCCAAACUGGAACUUAUGCUGUAGACAUUUCUUUGUGGUUUAUCUAAAAACCAAAGGAAAAGAAUACUUGAGAUCCAUUUGUAAGGAAAGAAAAGGAAGCAACAACAUAAUGCCCAGAGUUGGAGCC